ensembl:lncRNA
AUUACAUAGCAGAAAUUAGCACUGAGCAUUUCAGAUGCUUCAAAACGAGUUUGCAGUUAUGUAUUUUGGCAGAUCAAGGGGAGAUGUUUUCUUUCAAAUGGAUUAACUCAAAGAAGUAAUUUGUUUUUUACAAUAAGGGUGUUGAGGCAGUGGCACAGGUUGCCCAGAGUGGUGGUGGACGCCCCAUCCAUGCAGAAACCCGAGGUCAGGCUGGAUGGGGCUCUGAGCACCUGAUGGAGCUGUAGGUGUCCCUGUUCAUUGCAGGGGAGUUGGACCAGAUGGCCUUCAAGGGUCCCUUCCAACUCAAAAAAUCCUAUGAUUCUAUGAAGUGAGACGCAUCCUAUGCCUACAAGAGAGUCCAGAAUGUCAGUGCUGAUUAAAAUACACAAUCCAAUAUAUGCUAUUUUAGUAGGAAUAUAAUUACAUGAAGGAAAAUUCAUUUUAGUGUAUUUGAGGAAAUAUAUCCCACACUUUUGUCUCUCUGUUUCACUUUGGUUACUACACAGAGUUGCCAACACCCACAGAAAGGGCAUCAAGAAUUAGGUACUGAUUGUUCUGUGGUGGUCCAGUUAUUCACUCAAGGAAACCCAUACACUUCUUUCUCUAUGAACUUCAAAAAUUUUCGACAGCUCCCUUCAAGGGCGGUGUCCUGGUUUCAGCAAAAAAAAGCGUUAGGGGCACACCGAGCUUCGGUCGCUGCUGAGCGGCGAGGCCGCACCCUGCGUCAGGCUGGGCCGCUGGGCGGGGCGGAGCCGCCGCCAUGAUGGACAGCAGCGGGGCCGGGGCGGGGCCGGGACUGAGUCCGCAUUGGGCAGGGGCUGUUCCAUACCGCGUGACGUCAGGCGGACGCCAUAAGGCUGUGGGAACGGCAGUGCUUGAUCGGCAGUUGUGGAGGUUGUGGUGUCGCCGUAGCUGUAGCUUUGUUUAUUGUUGUGUAUUCGUUGGUGGACGGAACAGGGAGCGCCUGCGGAGGAUGGCGAGUGCCUGCAGAGCAAGGGAGCACCUGCGGAUGAUGGGAGUACCUGCAGAGAAGAAGGAGGGUUUGCGGAGGACACAGUGCCGUCGGAGAAUACAGGUAGUGCGCCGGCGGAGGUUAGAGGUAGUGCGCUGUCAGAAGAUAGAGGUGGAGUACCUGCAGAGGACAGGGAGCACCUGUGGGGAACAGGGAGCGCUUGCAGAGGACAGGAGCACCGUCAGAAUAUAGAGGUAGUGCGCCAGCAGAGGUUAGAGGUAGUGCACCAUUGGAGGACAGAGGUGGAUGGUCUGUGGAGGACAGGAGCACCUGAAGAAAACAGGGAGCACCUACGGGGGACGGGAGCUCAGUCAGAAGACAAAGGUAGCACCAGCAGAGAUUAGAGGUAACACACCAGCAGAGGAUAAGAGGUAGCACGCCGGCAAAGGUUAGAGGUAGUGCACUGUCAGACGAUAGAGGUGUAACGUAUGCGGAGAAAAAGAGGACCUGCGGAGAACAAGGAGUGCCAGCAGAUGAUGGGAGCACAAUCAGAAGAUAGAGGUAGCUUGCCGGCAGAGGUUAGAGGUAGUGCACUGUUGGAGGAUCAAAGUAGUGGGUCUGCGGAGAACAGGAGAACCUGCGGAGAACAGGGAGUGACUGCAGAGGACGGGAACACCGGCAGAAAACAGAAUUAGUGCACCGGCAGAGGUUAGAUGUAGUGCGCUGUUGGAGGAUAGAGGUGGAAUGUCUGCGGAGGAAAAGAGCACCUGCAGGGAACUGGAAGUAAUUGCGGAGGACAGGAGUGCCGUCAUAAGACAGAUUUAGUGCACUGGCAGAGGUUAGAUGUAGUGUGCCAUCAGAAGAUAUAGGUGGAGCAUCUGCGGAGGACAGGAGCAUCUGCGGAGAACACAGACGGCCUGCAGAUGAUGGGAGUGUUGUCAGAAGAUAGAGGUAGUGCGCUGGCAGAGGUUAGAUGUAGUGCCCCAUCAGAGGAUCGAGGUGGAGGGUCUAGGGAGGAAGAGAUCACCUGCAGAGAACAUGGAGAGCCUGUGCAGGACGGGAGCGCUGUCGAAAGACAGAGUUAGUGAGCUGGCAGAGUUUAGAUGCAGUGUGCCAUCACGGGAUAGAGGUGAAGAGUCUGCGGAGGACGGGAGCACCUGUGAAGAACAAAGAGUGCCUGCAGAUGACGGGAGCGCGAACAGAAGAUAGAGGUAGCACACUGGCAGUGGUUACAGGUAGUGCGCUGUCACAGGAUCGAAGUGCAAGGUCUGGGGAGGAUGGGAAUAUCUGUGGAGAUCAAGGAGUGCCUGCAGAUGAUGGAAGCAUGAUCUGAAGAUAGAGGUAGCUUGCAGGCAGAGGUUAGAGGUAGUGUGCUGUUGGAGGAUUGAGGUGGAGGGUCUGCAGAGGACGGGAGCACCUGCGGCAAGCAGGGACUGACUGCGGAGAACGGGAGUGCUGUCAGAAGGAAUAGCUAGUGAACCGGCAGAGGUUAGAGGUAGUGUGCCUUGAGAGGAUAUAGGUGGAACAUCUGCCGAGAAUGGGAGCACGUGUAGAGAACACAGAGCGCCAGCAGAUGAUGGGAGCGUUGUAAGAAGAUAGAGGUAGUGCGCCGGCAGAGGUCAGAGGUAGUGCGCUGUCUGAGGAUAGAUGUGGAGCGUCUGCAGAGGACAAGAGCAUCUGCGGAGAACACAGACGGCUUGCAUAUAAUGGGAGCGUGGUUAGAAGAUUGAGGUAGUGCGCCGGCAGAGGUUAGAGGUAUUGUGCCAUCAGAGGACCGAGGUGGAGGGUCUGCGGAGGAUCGGAGCACCUGCGGAGAACAGGGAGCACCUGUGGAGGACGGGAGCGCUGUUAGAAGGCAUAGUUAGUGCGCCGGCAGAGGUUAGAUGUAGUGUGCCUUCAGAAAAUAGAGGUGGAGCAUCUGUGGAGCAUAGGAGCACCUGCGGAGAACAGGGAGCAUGUGCGGAGGACGGGAGCGCUGUCAGAAGGCUUAGUUAGUGCGCCGGCAGAGGUUAGAUGCAGUGUGCCUUCAGAGGAUAUAAGUGGAGCAUCUGCGGAGGAUAGGAGCAACUGCAGAGAGCACAGAGCGCCGGCAGAUGAUGGGAGCGUUGUCAGAAGAUAGAGGUAGUGCGCCGGCAGAGUUUAGAGGUAGUGCAUCAUCAGAGGAUAUACGUGAAGCGUCUGCGGAGGACAAGAGCAUCUGCGGCGAACAGAGACCACUUGCAGAUGAUGGGAGCGUGGUUAGGAGAUAGAGGUAGUGCGCCAGCAGAGGUUAGAGGUAUUGUGCCAUCAGAGGAUCGAGGUGGAGGGUCUGCGAAGGAUGGGAGCACCUGCAGCGAACAGGGAGCACCUGCGGAGGACAGGAGUGCUGUCAGAAGACAUAGUUAGUGCGCCGGCAGAGGUUAGAUGUAGUGCAUCAUCAGAGGAUCGAGUUGGAGCGUCUGCAGAGGACAAGAGCAUCUGCGGAGAACAGUGACCGCUUGCAGAUGAUGGGAGCGUGGUUAGAAGAUAGAGGUAGUGCGCCGGCAGAGGUUAGAGGUAAUGUGUCAUCAGAGGAUUGAGGUGGAGAGUCUGCAGAGGAUCGGAGCACCUGAGGAGAACAGGAAGCGAUUGCCAAGGACAGGAGCACCAUCAGAAGACAGAGUUAGUGCGCCGGCAGAGGUUAUAUGUAGUGUGCCUUCAGAGGAUAGAGGUGGAGCAUCUGCGGAGGAUAGGAGCACCUGCGGAGGACAGGAAGCAAUUGCCAAGGACAGGAGCACCAUCAGAAGACAGAGUUAGUGCGCUGGCAGAGGUCAGAUGUAGUGCAUCAUCCGAGGACAGAUGUGGAGCGUCUGCAGAGGACAAGAUUAUCUGCGGAGGUCAAGGAGUGCCUGCAGAUGUUAGGAGUAUUGUCAGAAGAUAGAGGUAGUGCGCCGGCAGAGGUCAGAGGUAGUGCGCUGUCUGAGGAUAGAUGUGGAGCGUCUGCAGAGGACAAGAGCAUCUGCGGAGAACACAGACGGCUUGCAUAUAAUGGGAGCGUGGUUAGAAGAUUGAGGUAGUGCGCCGGCAGAGGUUAGAGGUAUUGUGCCAUCAGAGGACCGAGGUGGAGGGUCUGCGGAGGAUCGGAGCACCUGCGGAGAACAGGGAGCACCUGUGGAGGACGGGAGCGCUGUUAGAAGGCAUAGUUAGUGCGCCGGCAGAGGUUAGAUGUAGUGUGCCUUCAGAAAAUAGAGGUGGAGCAUCUGUGGAGGAUAGGAGCACCUGCGGAGAACAGGGAGCACCUGUGGAGGACGGGAGCGCUGUUAGAAGGCAUAGUUAGUGCGCCGGCAGAGGUUAGAUGCAGUGUGCCUUCAGAGGAUAGAGGUGGAGCAUCUGCGGAGGAUAGGAGCACCUGCGGAGGACAUAGAACACCUGAAGAUGAUGGGAGGGCUGUCGGAAUGCAUAGUUAGUGCGCCAGCAGAGGUUAGAUGUAGUGCAUCAUCAGAGGAUUGAGGUGGAGCAUUGGCAGAGGACGGGAACACCUACAGAGAUCAAGGAGUGCCUGCAGAUGACGGGAGCGUUGUCAGAAGAUAGAGGUAGUGCGCCGGCAGAGUUUCGAGGUAGUGCAUCAUCAGAGGAUAUACGUGAAGCGUCUGCGGAGGACAAGAGCAUCUGCGGAGAACAGAGACCACUUGCAGAUGAUGGGAGCGUGGUUAGGAGAUAGAGGUAGUGCGCCAGCAGAGGUUAGAGGUAGUGUGCCAUCAGAGGAUCGAGGUGGAGGGUCUGCGGAGGAUCGUAGCACCUGCGGAGAACAGGGAGCACCUCUGGAGGACGGGAGCACUGUCAGAAGGCAUAGUUAGUGCGCCGGCAGAGGUUAGAUGUAGUGCAUCAUCAGAGGAUAAAGGUGGAGCAUCUGCAGAGGACAGGAGCACCUGUGGAGAACAAGGAGCGCCUGCAGAUGAUGGGUGCGCUGUCAGAAGAAAGAGGUAGCAUGCUGGCAGAGGUUAGAGGUAGUGCUCUGUCACUGGAUCGACGUUGAGGGUCUGCGGAGGAUGGGAGCACCUGUGGUGAACAGGGAGUGACUGUGGAGGACAGGAGCGCCGUCAGAAGACAGAAUUAGUGCGCCGGCAGAGGUUAUAUGUAGUGUGCCAUCACGGGAUAGAGGUGGAGCAUCUGCCGAGGACAGGAGCACCUGCGGAAAACAGGGAGCACCUGCAGAUGACGGGAGCACCAUCUGAAGAUAGAGGUCGUGCGCCGUCGGAGGUUAGCAGUAGCAUCCUGGCAGAGGAUAAGAGUUAGCGCGCUAUCGGAGGUUAGAGGUAGUGUGCUGUUCGUGGAUAGAGGUAGAAUGUCAGUGGUUGAAAGGAGCACCUGUGGAGAACAGGGAGUGAUUGCAGAGGAUGGGAUCACCGUCAGAAAACAGAGUUUGUUUGCUGGCAGAGGUUAGAUGUAGUGCGCCAUCCGAUGAUAGAGGUGGAGUUUCUACGGAGUACGGGAGCACCUGCAGAGAACAAGGUGUGCCUGCAAAUGACAGGAGCGCGAUCGGAAGAUAGAGGUAGAAGAUAGUGCACAGGCGGAGGUUACCGGUAGUGCGCUGUCGGAGCAUCAAGGUGGAGGUUCUGUUUCGCCAUCCGAUGAUAGAGGUGGAGUUUCUACGGAGGAUGGGAGCACCUGCGUAGAACAGGGAGCGCCUGCGGACGAUGGGAGCACCGUAAGAAAAUAGAAGUAAUUCGCUGGCUGGGUUUUGCAAUAGCAUGCCUUCAGAAGAUUGAGGUGGAUUGCCUCCAGAGGACGGUGAGCGCCUGUAGAGGACAGGAGCACCUGUGGAGAACAGGGAUUGCCUGCACAGUAUGGGAACAUCAUCAGAGUGUAGAGGUAGUGCACCGGCAGAGGAUUGAGGAAGUGCGCCAGCAGAGGAAAGAGGUGCGGCACCUGUGGGGGAUGGGAGCACCGUCAGAAGAUUGAGGUAGCACGCCAGCGGAGGUUAGAGGUAGCGUGCCAUUGGAGGAUGGAUGUAGUGCACCGGCCGAGGUUGGAUGUAGUGUUCUGUCAGAUGAUAGAGGUGGAGUGCCUGUGGAGGACAGCGAGUGCCUGCAGAGGACGAGAGCACCUGAGGAAAACAGGAAGCACCUGCGGAGGACUGGAGCGCCGUUAGAAGAUAGAGGUAUCUCGCUGGCUGAGUUUAGUGGUAACACACCAGCAACGGAUAGACGUAGUGUGCCGCCAGUGGAUAGAGGUAGAGCGCCAGCAGAAGAUAGGAGGUAGGACACUGGUGGAGGUUACAGAUAGUGCGCCGUCGGAGGAUAGAUGUGGAGCAUUUGCGGAGGAUGGGAGUAGCUGAGGAGAACAGGGAGUGCCGGCGGAUGACAGGAGCACUGUCAGAAGAUAGAGGUAGCGCGCCAUUGGAUGAUAGUGAUGGAGCAUCUGCGGAGGAUGGGAGCACCUGCGGAGAACAGGGAACGUCUGCAGAGAAUGGGAGCACCGUCAGACGAUAGAGGUAGCGCGUCAGUGGAGUUUAGAGAUAGCGCGCUUCCAGAAGACAGAGGUGGAGCACCUGCUGAGGGCGGCAAGCACCUGUAGAGGACGGGAGCACCUGCGGAGAAUAGGGAGCGCCUGCCGAGGACAGAGCACCGUCAGAAGAUAGAGGUAGCGCGCCAGCAGAGGAUAAGAGGUAGCACCCUGGCGGAGGUUACAGGUUGUGUGCCAUUGGAGGAUAGAUGUGGAGCACCAGCAGAGGACAGCGAGCGCCUGCAGAGGACGGGAGCAUCUGCAGAGAACAGGGAGCACCUGCGGCGGACGGGAGCGCCAUCGGAGUAUAGAUGCAACGCGCCGGCGGAGAUUAGAGGAAGCACACCUGCGGAGGUUACUAGCGCGCUGUCAGAGGAUAGAAGUGGAGUGCCAUUGGAGGACAGCGAGCACCUGCGGAGGACAGGAGCGCCAGCAGAAGAUAGAGGAAGUGCCACAUGCGCUUUCCCUCAUCCUAAUUUCUUUCUAUUAUUUUUUUC